UACGGAGGGUGCAAGCGUUCGUCCGGAUUUAUUGGGUUUAAAGGGUGCGUAGGCGGCCCGUUAAGUCAGUGGUGAAAGCCUCCAGCUCAACUGGAGAACUGCCAUUGAUACUGGCGGGCUUGAGUACAGACGAGGUAGGCGGAAUUGAUUGUGUAGCGGUGAAAAUGCAUAGAUACAAUCAAGAACACCGAUUGCGUAGGCAGCUACUAGGCUGUAACUGACGCUGAGGCACGAAAGCGUGGAGGAGCGAACAGG
rnacentral:rRNA from 1 species